rnacentral:other from 1 species
CAUCCCCUGCGGUGUACGAGAGCGGGCCGAGUAUUCUUGAGCCUCAAAUUAUUCGCCAGGGGACGCCUACGCCGAAGUUCGGUGUGCAAGUCCGCCACGCAGCGGAAAGCCUAAGACUUCGACUGGCUUCCCCACCUGAACCAUAGGGUUCAAGGGCGAAGCCCGCACGGCACAGGCGGGGGAUGU